GUAGGUGAACCUGCGGAAGGAUCAUUAAUGAGAUCAUGCCCCUCGGGGUAGACCUCCCACCCUCUGUAUACAAUACCUUUGUUGCUUUGGCGGCCCCGUCGCACGACAACCGGCCCCGGCUGGUCAGCGGCCGCCAGAGGAAUCAAAACUCAUAUCAUCAUUGUCGUCUGAGUACUAUACAAUAGUUAAAACUUUCAACAACGGAUCUCUUGGUUCUG
rnacentral:misc_RNA from 1 species